CCCAGACUCCUACGGGAGGCAGCAGUGGGGAAUAUUGCACAAUGGGGGAAACCCUGAUGCAGCGACGCCGCGUGAGUGAAGAAGUAAUUCGUUACGUAAAGCUCUAUCAGCAGGGAAGAGAGUGACGGUACCUGAGUAAGAAGCCCCGGCUAACUACGUGCCAGCAGCCGCGGUAAUACGUAGGGGGCAAGCGUUAUCCGGAUUUACUGGGUGUAAAGGGAGCGUAGACGGCGAAGAAAGUCUGGAGUGAAAGCCCGCGGCUUAACCGCGGAACUGCUUUGGAAACUUUUUGGCUGGAGUGCCGGAGAGGUAAGCGGAAUUCCUAGUGUAGCGGUGAAAUGCGUAGAUAUUAGGAGGAACACCAGUGGCGAAGGCGGCUUACUGGACGGUAACUGACGUUGAGGCUCGAAGGCGUGGGGAGCAAACAGGAUUAGAUCCCCCUGUA
rnacentral:rRNA from 1 species